rnacentral:rRNA from 1 species
AUUGAACGCUGGCGGCAGGCCUAACACAUGCAAGUCGAGCGCGAAAGUUCUUCGGAAUGAGUAAAGCGGCGGACGGGUGAGUAAUACGUGGGAAUCUGCCUGGUAGUGGGGGACAACGUUUCGAAAGGAACGCUAAUACCGCAUACGCCCUACGGGGGAAAGGGGGGGAUCUUCGGACCUCUCGCUAUCAGAUGAGCCCA